UACGAUACACAUGAGAGCGGUCGGCCGGCGAUUGCUGAUCUAUUUGAGUGGUUAUAGGAUGCCAGUCCUGAGCCAAGGUUAUUCCUCCAACUGAUUGGAUUCCCGUGUUUUCCACUCCUCUUAUUUAACUUCGCGAAGUUGUAGCAAUCGAAUCGAUUUAUGUUAAAGAGUGCCUCUGGACCGGGCCCAAAUCCCGUGACUUACUGCAGAGAGCCACGCACUUAAGCAGGAGGAACGACGUGUCGACAGGCAGACAACAGAGCGAUAAGAUAUGCCCCAUCUAUUUGGCCAAAUUCAACUUGACUUUGGCCUUCAGGUGGUGCCGGGCUGCCAAGCUGCUAAGUUGGCAAAAAUGUACGCUAAUCUGUUGGCAACACGCCACAAAGCUUCAGGGUCCCAGUCUUUCAGUCUUCCACUCUCCCAGUCUCCCCGCCAAUUCAUUAGCAUUAGCUCAGUUGGUAAAAAGGUAAAAAGGGGUAUAUACGAGUAGUAUCCACAAAGUACUCACUUACAUACAUGUGUUGUGACGCUGCGGACAAUGCAAAUGUAAAUGUGAGGCAUUUGAACAAGCGCAUAAUUGCCAGAGAAUUUACGAUAAUGUUUUAAAUUAAAAAGGAUGUUGGACCGGGCAUCCCAAGCCCAUCCACAUCAACAACCGUAACCAUGCCUCCCCGCUUCACAUGGCAUGACGUUGCCUGCGCUCCUUUGGCUCCUUUAGUUGGACAUUCUGGCCCGAGUUGAGUUGGCAUUAAAACAUCUUGACGCAAUUUUUGCGAUAAGUCGACAGCAACGAGCCACAGCGAACCGAGGGCAGAAAUAAUGGCUGGAUUAUGUACGAAUCAUGUCGCUGUUGUGGUCGUUGCCUUUCCUUGGUCAUGUCUACAGCAAAAGAUCAUGUUGGGAGCGAGCAUGGAGCAAGGAUAAAUCAAGGCACCUUGCCACAACCACUGCCUCUCAUCCACUGCCUCAUCCACGGACGCUGAAUGGCUAAAAGGUGUUAAAACUAUUUUUGUAAAUUUAAUGUGCGAUAAAAGAAAUGAAAAUUCAACAGGUUGCGCAAAAACGUGACGAAUUCCGUUCCCCACACUCCUCGCCGCUCUUAACUUGUUUUUAAGCCAUUUGUGGGAAAAUUCUUAGUUUUGGCCAGCCGGAAGUGCGCGAGUUGAUUUCUUCUGGAGCACUUAAGCUGGAGCUUAGGCUGGACCCAAGCCCAAGCCGAAGCCAAGCAAAAGCAACAGCAAUUUGCGACAUGCUGGAAGCCAAGCACCUGGCCACCCAAGGAUCGGCCAUUAACAUUGUGCCGGCUAAUGAGCCGGACGCCAUAAAUGGCCAAAAACAUUGUGCUCCAAAGAAGCUUGUAAAAUUAGAAAGCAAUUUCAAUUGCAGUCGCCAGGUAUUUGGCCAGAUGCACGUUGCCGCUGGCCGAGAUGGGAAUGUUAAUGCUCAUGUUUCAGCUAAUGUUGUGGGCCUGGCCCAAAAGCACUUAUGCUAAUCAUGGCAAUUAACAAUCGAACUUCCCAACCGGUUCCAAGGAGAUAUCAGGGCCUUCGACUGGUGUCCAUCACGGCGUCGGGAGCAGGGGAUCCAGACCUGUAGAUUGUGAUGGCUUGUCGCCAAGAUCGCUGUCCGCAGGCGAAACCGUUAGUGCACUGGUCGUACAGCUAGUCGAACGAUGAUCCAGUUUGCAGUGGCACUUGCCCAUCCUUCCACAUCAUGGGGCCUCCUCUCCUGAAAGUGCCACCCGAUGCGGCAGCAGCAACAAUUGCCCAACUUGCCGCUUGUUUUGUGGCUGCAACAGCGAUUAACACUCUCAUCGAGCAGCCAAUGGCAUAAAAGGUGUUUGGGAAUCAAUUAAUUUACCCGGCAGGAAGACUCGGACACUUCGCCAGGCCCUCCAGGCGCACUCAGAAAAGGUAACGCAAACUGAAACUGCCCACUGAAUUCCCCAAGGCCAAAACGACGAUCUGAUGAUGACGAACAGGAUCUAACCAUGCAUCUCAAUGUUCUCUUCAGUUGUUUCCAAAGCUGGGAUGUCGAAAUUUAGUAACUAUUCACAUAAAAUAGUGAUUGGUUUUCUGAUUAUUUUC